ensembl:lncRNA
GUGUAGGAACUGGGCUGGGCCGGGCUCUUGGUCUUUCGGGGACCCCCCCGCAGGGGACUCCACCUCCACCCCCCAGCAAUGACCCCUGUGAGCGCACGGCCGGGCCCAGGGCCACGGGCAGGGAACGAUCUAGGAGGCCGGGGCUCCGAGCUCGCACUCCGCCGCCGCAGGCAGUGGCUCGACCUUCGCCUAGCGCGGCGCCCCGGAGCUGUCUUGGGAGCACGGCCUCCGUCAAGUCGGGCAGGCUAGAGGAGGAGACCCCAGAACGUGUGGGCACAGGGCAGGAGCCCGCGGGCGCCAUCGGAAGCAGCCACUUUCUACAAAUGUGAGUGCGAUUGAAAUCAACUUUUACCUCUGUCCGCUUUCAAAUCGAUCAGCUGAUGUUUGGAAAAUGGGUCAAAGAAAUUAUGCUUUGCUGAGAUAAAGACCACGUAUGACCAAAGUUUCAGCUUAAUUGAAUUUUAGUGCCAAAUUAUAACUCACUGAAUAACUGGACUUGGGCGCAGGAGGGGUGGAGGAGAAGGCAGUGAAGGACAGGCAAUUCUAAUGGAAAUCCAGCCACCCUGGACUGGGGUCCUGUGGCCGCACGGGUACAAUAAGAACUGCAGCUCCAUUCCAAGGGAGUGAGGUUUAUCACACUGUGGCUUUCAUGUGGGAAAACGGGGUUGGCCUUGCUUGGUUCUGUGGGUUUGGGUUGAUGUUCCUGGGUAUUAUUUCAUGUAGCAGGCAGCUCUUCUUUAGAGCAUAGCUUCUCCUUUGUUGUUGUUGAGACUAACUUCUGUUCUUGCCAAUAAAAAUUAAUCUCUUCCUUUAGAAGUCAAUGUGUAGAGAAAGCAGGUGUUUUGAAGAGAGAAAGUAUUUAAAAAAUAAAACAGGUACUUGGUUGUCAAAGCAAAAUGCCGGGUUUAGAACAACUAGGAUUUUGCUCCUGGUGUGUCAUCACAGAUGUUCAUUUUAUUAAAUAGACGUUUGUAUCUGGCAGUUCCUGGAUUAAUUUCAGGAAGGGAGAAGAGGUGAUGGGCUCAUAAUGAAAGAAUUAUGAUUUAGGUGGUGGUGCACUGAGCCUCAGUUGCAGGCAGAUGGGUUGUUUGCUAAAUCUAUAAGGGGAAUAAUUAAAAAUGAGCAUGCAAAGGAUGCUUAAUUUUUGGAUAGUUUGUAUUUGUCAUCAAUUAUUUGGAGCUUUUUCUCAAAGUUGCCCCCUUUUUUCUUGUUUCAUGGCCCAUAUUGGCCAUGCUGCCUCUAGGCUCAGCCCCCUGGCCUCUGACCUCUUGUUUUGAAUGCAUGCUGCACCCGCAGCCAGACUGCUGGGUUUUUACAUCUGUUCUGCUUGCAUGCAUAGGGACCUCUCCUCGUCUAGGUGGUUCAAAAGGGCAGCAGGCCAUGCCCCCUCCGCCCCCCACCCCCGACCCCCAACACACACACACACACACACACACACACACACACACCCACCCACCCACCCACCCACCCAACCUCGGGCACUUUGUAGCUAGGCCUUCAACACUUCCUGCCUUGGCCGUAUCAGUUUCUUCCCUGAUUCUUAACCAGCUUUUCUUGGUCCUGCCUGUAGGCGUCCCUCAGUCCCUGUCCCCACCUGAAACACCUUCCGCCUUCCUGUCAACCUGUCCUGACUGCAGUUCUCAGACCAGGAUCACAGCCACAUCGACCUGGCCCCCAUCGGGCUGCAGGGAACUGCCUCCUCUGCUUGGCCUCUAGGGAGGGCCCUGUGCUCCAGUCUGUAUUUCAUUGCCCCGUGCUUCUUUCUCCCGCUAUAGCUGGACUUUGGGGAUGUUUCCGGUAGAAGAGAAAAUGACAGAGGUGCCUUGAGAGUAGGUGUCAUUUUACACUGGUCCCAGGGCUCUGUCAGCACCCUGCACCCACAGAAUGGGCCAUCCAUCAGUCAGCUGCACGUGGAUGUGUAAAUCAGAACCACGUUUGGGUGGCAACAACAGAUGCGCCCAGUCCCUGGAGGUGCGAGCAAAGACAACAUGCUUCUGCGCUGAACUCACAGGACCCGUCCCUGGACUUUUUCAAACAACAUAAAUCAAACUCUUUAAAUUCAAUGGAAUUUUAAACUGUUUAAAAAAGUGAGUAUGACUCAGUUGGACUGCAAGAGAAAGUGGAAGAAAAACAAACAAAAGCAAAUCCAGAAAUCCAAACAGUUGAGUCUGCUUUGGGUAGUCUUGAUUUGCCCAAGAAAAGGAGCAGAUUCCUGAGAAACAAGCAAAAGACUCCCAAAGCGCUGCGAUGCCUCGUCUUCUGGCAGGUGACCUGCACGGGGUGUUGUCGGGGCUGGCUUCUAGAACGAGACUGUUCAUCCCCGCAGUCUUGAAUUGUUUAGGAAAAGUGCCAUCCAGGACUGUCCCGGCGUGCCCGGGGAGGCGGAAGACAGGCACCUUCUUCAAGGAGCAUGCCGAAAACCUGGUGAUAGGGCUGACUCUGAAGAAGUUGACGAAUUCCAGUCUGGUCAAUAGCGCGUGAUUAAAGUAACAAGAUAAAAAAUGAUGUGAACCAAGCCACCUUCAAAACUCUUCAGGGAACAAAGAGAUUAGCAAUUGCUGCAGUACAGGAAGAAAUGAAAAUGAUGAAAAUAACUCAGGAACUUGAAGGAGGAACAUUUAACAUUUAGAAUUCAGUGCAAAUGUGUUAACAAUCCAUCUGUGGGCAAGGUGUCUUUUCUCACCACUUAAUCAAAUUAACCAAACCAGGAGCGUUAGCAUUUAGAACUGCAGUGUGGUUUAGAAGGAGGCCGUCCCAAGAGUCUUCGCGUUCAACCAAGACACUGAACUUCUUUCUGGAGUAGCAGAUUCUCAGCUCAACGUUUGCAAGGAACGGUAAGAUACAUCAAGAGAAAAAGCAGGUAUACAAGACACAGAGCUGGUCUGGAGGACCGCCAGGUUAAAAUGCACAUGUGGCACUCUUUGCGAGCUGUUUUAAAAACUUUGGAAAGCUUCUUCUCUUUCUCCCUGAGAGGAAGUUUCAACAAAUGGCUGGAUGGUUUAAGUCUUUGCCAUCCCUGAAACCCCUGACCACCUUCUCCUGUGUCUCUUCGACUGGGGCCUUAGACUGGAUGAAACGCGUAUUCUGCCCGCAUUAUUUUUUUGGAGAACAGUUUCAGUGUCGUGAUUUUGUUCCAAUUCAGUGGUUUAAGAAAAUAUGUAGGCUCAGGUUCACUUUAAGUGGGUUCACUUGGUGUCCUUCUAGGGGAUGGAGAAAGAAACAAAGCAAGGGAAAAGUUCCUCCUUGAGACUUAAUAAUUCAACACAGAGUUAAUAUUGGGAUUUUGGGCUGGUGAUGGGUGAGUGGGUGCCCUGUGUUGCGGGUUUGUUAAGGACAGCUGGGGGUCAAGGCAAGGUCAUCCGUCUCAGUCCUAAAUAUCCCCCUUCUUAUUCACAGUAAUUUUGGGGCAUCUUUGUCCUGAUAAACCACCAGGCCCCUUACAUUCGAUUUUGACCUUACUAGUCCACACAACCUUUGGGACUUGUUUUCCAGAGCUUAGAUUUUUUUUUUCUCACAUUUUUAAAGGAGGGUACAGUGUAGAGACUAUCUUAUGGAAUCCUGUAGCCUGGGAGUGUUCCGUUAUCAAACCUGUGGGCAUUUUCACAGAAAACAUAUGCAUCUUCACUUUCAGAGGCAUAAAAAAAUUGAGACUAUAAAUAACCUCACGUCAGGAUUGUGUGCUAAAUUUAGGAAACAAUGUUUGAUUUUCAGGGUUUUUUUUGGAGUUUGGGGCUCGCAUGUGAGGGACUGUGGUCCUGGAUUACAGAACUCUGCCUCUUUUCCUUAAAUAAGAAAGGCGCUGAUUCAAGAAUCCUUCAAGAUCCUUUCGCGUGGGUCAGUUUUAACUGUAGCAUUAGUCUUUGUUUAGAGAAUGCUUAUAUAUCUUGAGAGAAUUCACAGUAAUGUAGGGACCAAAGACCACGCUUAGCGUAUCAGAAGAGCUCGUUCUGACAUUUGCGAGUCCACAUGUCCUGCUGUAGGUAGGGGAGUGGGAGCUGGAGGCAUCUUCCUGGCUGGACCAAGUGCCAGGGACAGCAGGUGACCUCCGAUGGCCAUGUCUCAUUCCUCCCCCUGCCGGGAAAGUCUCUGAGGCUGAGAAGAGCAGCAAGUGACUUCAUUUGCCUCUGACCUUUCGAACGAAAAUAAACUGUACAUGACUAAUAGCACCUAAGGUACUAAGAGGUGCUUAAAAUGAUGGAAAUUGGCCACCAGCAUGUGGACGGACCUCCUGCAGGGGUAGAGGCUUGGUUACAUAACCUCUACUAUCCUGUCCAGUUUUGACUCAGUAAGCUGGCGUGACCUAUAUUAAGUUCUAAUAAACAUCAGCUGUUUCAAGAGAUACACAUACUUUGCACAGAAAUAGCCACCAUUCGAUUCAAAUGGGACUGGGAUGUAUAUUUUAAUGGUGACAUUUUUGUUUCGUAAGAAAAGUCACCGGUUGUUUGUGAAUUUGAUUGCAUUCUUUUAGACCCUUAAGGGCCAAUUAUUAAUAAAUGCACACAGACUGUGUGCCCUCUUGGAAAUGUCAGAAAUCUGCAUUCGAUUUUAUGUCGUGUUGGACACAGUGUUUGACCUACAGGAACACGUGCAGGUAAAGUGGAAACCCUGGAGAGGACUGAUCUAUGAGGCCGGUGUUCAGUUUUGCAGGCAACGCUUCAGGAAUCCAUUCAGUAGCUCAAAGCAAAAAUGGUCCUGUCUUAGUGAUGUGGCUUUUGGGGGGUUGUUGGGGUUCUGUGUGCAUUCCAGAGGUCCUGGCUUUAGGACCUGGAGGUCCUGGAGAUGUCUGUUUACACUCAUGAAAGAAGAGAGUUAGGGGGCCCACAUUCCCUGGGUUGGAAAGGGUGGGGAGGGAGUGGACAGGAAGCAUCAGCUGAGAGGCGCUCUCCUGGUGUGUCCUGGAACUUUCCAGAGAAACAAGAUGGACUUGAGAAAGGUGGUUGAAGUGGUGGCAUUCUGCCUGAUCUCUCACCCACAGGUUUGGCGUGCUGCAGUUCACGGGGUUGCAGGGAGUCCGACACGACUAAGUGACUGAGCAACCAUAUAUAUUUAAGCACAUGAUGCUUGGAGGCACCGACCAUAGAAAGCUUUAAAACCUGGCCGAUAAACACCUCCGAAGGAGCAGAGGCCGUGCCUGCCCCACGGCAGUGUUUUCAUCUAAACUUCUUCUUCAUAUUUCUCACGUCAGCACCGUUUCGACUGAAGAUCUCAAGGUAUUGUGUCCAGCUCUUUAUACCAGUAAAGCAUCUCUUUCAUUUUGCACAAUUAAGAUUUGGGGAAGCAGGUGAAGGUGUAGACAGGAGAAGAGAGAGCCGGGUUAUACAGAAGGUCAGAGGAUCAGAGGACUGGGAGCAGCAAAUCCAGAAACUGCCUGAGGCCGAGGGGUGAAGUCACUGCCGUCAAGGUCAAGAAGAAAUUAUCUCUGCCUCUUCUUGGCCCAAGGCCUGCUGAUAGCCUCAGAGCACUGGUUACAGGGCAGAGGCGCUGUGUCAGAUGCAUCAAACGGGACAAUUUUGGGGGACCCAUCAUCCAGGCUGAGCAAGGAGGGGACACAUCCUUGGAGAGCUGGUGUCUGAGCUGAGGCCCAUGGGAUUAGUUGGCAUUCAUCAAGACAAGGGAUGCUGUGGGGUGAUGCACGAACAGGAUGGUCCAGGGAGAGGGAACAGAUGGCCCGAGAAGGGAUGGUGUUGUCUCCAGGGACCCCACUCCAUCACCAGGCCUCCAUCCUCCACCAGGCUGCAAGCCAAUGGGGUGAUCUCUUUUCCCUACAGCUUGAUUUGCAUGGCUUCCCAAGUGGUGCUAGUGGUAAAGAACCUGCCUGCCAAUGCAGACGUAAGAGACACUGGUUCCAUCCCUGGGCAGGGAAGAUCCCCUGGAGAAGGAAAUGGCAACACACUCCAGUAUUCUUGCCUGGAAAAUUCCAUAGACAGAGGAGCCUGGUGGGCUACAGUCCACGGGGCCAAAGAGUCAGACACGACUGAGUGACUCUCUUGGCCUGUAUAAGUCUAUCCUGGAUUGCAGCAAAUUCAAGGUUUGCAGACUUUAAUAGGUACUCACAGAAGAGAAGGUACUCAUUGGAAGGACAGAUGCUGAAGCUCCAAUACUUUGGCCACUUGAUGUGAAGAGCCGACUCAUUGGAAAAGACCCUGAUGCUGGGCAAGAUUGAGGGCAGGAGGAGAAGGACAAAGGAUGAGAUGAUUGGAUGUAUCAUCGACUCAGUGGACAUGAGUUUGAGCAAAGUCUGGGAGAUAGUGAUGGACAGGGAAGCCUGGCGUGCUGCAGUCAAUGGGGUCGCAAAGAGUUGGAUACGACUGAGCGACUGAACAACAACAGCCCAGAAAAGAAGCACCCAAUGGACAGCCUCCCAACAUUUGAUGUGGAGGAUCUUUCCAGAUUCUGAUUCGUGGGCCUUGUUGGCUUAAGCUCAGCAUCUCUGUGUAUUAUCUUUAACUCACCUAUUUAGUGAACCUUUAUUGAGCAUCUAAUGGCCCAGGCACAGGGGUAAAUGGUCAGUGGAUGGGCACAGUUUCUGCCCUCCUGGGGCUUGCAGUCUGCAGAGGGAGACUUUUCAGGGCAGAUUCUUCAGCAGCAUCGUGUGACCCAGGGGGCUUUAUAACACCUGCUGUUUCAGUGGCUCAGAAGGAAAAGACCCUUCAGCAGACAUCUCCAGGAGCCCUGCCGUGUGCCAAGGCGCCCUGUGAGGUGCUGUGAGUGUGUGAGGUGGUCCCGGCUCCCAGCGAGUUUGGGGUUGGGUGAGGAAGGUCAGGGAAGGUCAUUUGAGUGUUAGCGGUGGUAGAGGUCGUGGGGCCAUACGGAGGGAAUAUUCAGUGCUAUGGAUGGGGCAUUCCAGGAAGAGGGGAGACCACUACAACGCUGACUAGAGCACAGUAGGCCCUUUGGGGGCUGGGGGAGAAGGUGGGACAGUAGUGGUGAGGGCCAGAGUCGGGUGGCAGGGGCUGGCCUCUCCUGGGCUUGUCUGCAGUCCUUGAAUUACAUGCUCCAGAUGACAAGAAUUAUGAAGGCUGAGGUCGUCUCAUUGAAGAUGUUCUACUGAAUUAAGUUCAUGUUUUCUAUAAAAUGUUCUGCAACGUUAGUUAUAAUUGGACAUCUCUUAAAAGAAAAAUCUCAUUUCCCAGAUGUCACCUGGAUAGCUUAUUUCCAUGUCCGGUUAAACUUCCUGCUGGAUAAAGAUUUCCAGUGUGGAAUGCCAAGAGCUGGUAGGGACAUGGUCCUUUUCCGGGACAACAGUGGGAUCAGUCAUGCUGAUGAAUGUGCCUGACUAUCACAGGUAGCUCCGGCUGGCUUGCUUGUGCUGCACCUUUGGGUACCACUUCUGGGAUGAGGAAGGAGGCGGUAAUGUGAGGCUGGCAGUGGGAACCAAGGCGCUCACUUGUUCUGGAGCCAGCUGGUCUGAGCUUGCUGUGAUGUGAGCUUGCUAACACUUGGGAACCAAGUGAUCGCAGUUCUUGAAGGUGCUUUACUGCAAGUUUCCUAUUUUCUUUUUCCCUCCUGGAGUGUGACAGAGCCUUCUACUCUGAAGCUGCGGAUGGCAGUAGUGGCUGAAGCAGCUGGUCAGCUUGCCUGUGACUCCUUCUCAGCCCCAGAGAGCUCCCGGUCUAUACAAUGAAGUUGAUUCGUGGGCUCAGCUGAAUGUUUUUCCUUUCCUUUUUCUCUUUUUUAAAAGAGCAACUGGUUAGUAAUUAGUUGUUCAAUUCGACUGUUUUUCUCUUAAAUUUUUUUUUUUUUUAUGUGGUAGAAGUUUUAUUUUUUUUCUGGGCAAAUUCUCAGGGUUUAAUUGCACUUAAAAAUCGUGGAGCCUGUCAGAGUAAAUUGCAGAUAGAAUAGUUUUACCCAAUAAAACUAGUCCUGUGAUUGUCACCGUUGUCAGGCUUCUCAGAUAAAGUUGUGGGAAGGAGAAUUUAAGUCUGCACGGUGAACCACACUUCAAAUCAGUAUUCAGCACAAGGCUCAUCACGCUCAAAGACAGAUACCCAGGGUAGCAGCUUUGAUGUUGGAGAAAUCAGACAUUGAUUUUAAAAUGAUUUUUCAAAUGCUGCCCACCUAAAGAAAAGGAGAAAUGCCUACCCCAAUGGGCUUAAAGUUAAAGCAGUGCAAUUAAAAAAAUUUUAUUGAAAUAUAGUUGAUUUGCAAUGCUGUAAAGUAGUGUAAUUUGUGAAAAACGUUUUAAAAGGCAAAAGCCACUUUACAGCAUGUUAAAAACAGUAAAGCAUAAGCAAUAUUAGCUGCUAGCUUCAUGUAAAGUUGCGUCUGCUCUUUGGCUCAGUGAAGUUUCUGUUUAUUCCUGGGAGCAAAUGAGAUGGCUGAAUGGCCUAAGUGGCCCUAGCCUUUUCUUGGGCCGUGAGAAAAGGUCCCCUGCCACCCACACUACACUUCCCAAGUAGUUUGUGUGUGUGUGUGUGUGUGUGUGUGUGUGUGCGCGCGCGCUCAGUCGCUUCAGUCAUGUCCAGCUCUUUGCAACUCUAUGAACUAUAGCCUGCCAGACUCCUCUGUCCAUGGGGUGCUCCAGGCAAGAAUACUGGAGUGGGUUGCCAUGUCCUCCUCCAGGGGAUCUUCCCCACCCAGGAAUUGAACCUGAGUCUUCUGUGGCUCCUGAAUUGCAGGCUGAUUCUUUACUGCUGAGCCACUGGGGAAGCCCAUCAAGUAGUUUUUAAUCCCCUAAAAAAUAGUUUCACCUUCCUUUCUUCCCUUUUUAAUAAGGGAGCUUCUCAUGCUAGGUUUAUCUUCCAAAAGACAGAACUUUCUAGAAUAUGCAGCUUAUCUUUCAACCCAACUUGGAUUUCUGAGGACAAAAGCGGACUCUAUACUUUUUAUUCUUCUUCCCAGAGUCCAUCGCUUGUAUUGACCAAUAAUAAACUUCAACCAAUUAUUGGAUCUACUGAGGAUGGGAAGUAGUUCCUCUACUGUUUGAAAUCAUUUUUAAGUUAACUACAUUAUGUCAGUCUAUUGCUAAUCUGUAAUAUGCAUUUAUAUUUCAUGUGGUUCCCUAUAGACCAUGAUGGACAGAGAAAAGCACCUUCCUUACGUGAAAAGUAUCAACUCGUUUCUGCUCUUCAGCAUUGUGGAGAAGGUGAGUUAAAUAAUAUGUGGCAGCGGGUAUGGGUUCCGUCCCUGGUCAGGAAGCUCAGAUCCCACGUGCCUGGAGGCCAAGAAACCAAAACCUAAAACAGAAGCAAUAUUAUAAAAAGUUCAAGAAAGACUUUAAAAAUGGUCCACAUCAAAAAAUCUUUAAAAAAAAUCAGUGCAAUUAAAAAAAGAGAGAGAGAGAAUAUGGGUAUCGCCUGGGAACUGGAAGCCUGGGCCCCAGAAGCUGACUGCCUCAGGCCUGGCCAGGGUCUUCACCCUCGAGCUGUGCUAUGUAAGUUCUGUGACCCAGACGAACUCAGUGUGACGCCCCACCCAGCACAGUGGGUAAUCAUGUAUAUGAUCAUGUUUAUAAUCAAUCGUUAAGGAGAAAACAAUAUUUCACAAAAAGAAAACUAGGAGAAUGAAGGUGACCGUGUAUUUGUCUUACAUGUGUUAGUUGCUCAGUCGCAUACGACUCUUUACGACCCCAUGGACUGUUGCCCACCAGGCUCCUCUGUCCAUGGAAUUCUCCAGGCAAGAAUCCUGGAGUGGGUUGCCAUUCCUUUCUCCAGGGGAUCUUCCCGACCCAGGGAUCCUCCAUUGCAGGCAGAUUCUUUACGGUCUGAGCCCCAGGGAAGCCCUAUUUGUCUUAUGAGUGAUAUAUAUAUUUUUCCAAAUGGGACAUCAAGAGUACUAGCUAUAAUCAGUUAAUAGAAUUAUGUACAUUUUCCAUAUCCGAGUCCUAGAGAUUUAAAAUUGGUUGCCCAUGGAAGUUCCUGGGUUAUGUGUCUUGUGUGUCUUUGUCUACACAUUUAGUGUAUCUGGUCACUUCAUGCAUUUUGUAUUCAUUUUGUGGGCUGCCAAAUAAUAACAGCAGGGCUGGCAUCAGCUCUGUAUCUGCUUGGAAAUGACCGUAAACACCACCACGGAAACUGAGAGCUCUUGCGUGUAGGCACCUGCCUCUCUGUCAGCUGCAGAAGAGCAGGGGGCUGUUUAGGAGAGGCUUGGGAGAUGGGGGCUCAGAGCUGUGCCCCCUGUGCCCCUGCGGAAGGCGGGGGCAGGGCUUCCUUCCUCUUCCUCUGGGUAGAAGGGGGUGGCCGGGGCCCCGGAGCCGGUGCCCCAGAGGCAUCUGGCAAGUGGUUCUGGUGCCAGCUAGUCCCUGGCAGAGGGAGUCACGAGCCAGGUGGAAGGGAGGAAUGUGGGCCACAGAGGAGAUCUGCCCCCCAGCCCUGGGCCCUGGACAGCCUUGGGACCUUGCAGAACUGCCUCUCCCUUCUCUUGCAAUGACCUGCCAUUCCCCUUUAGAAGCCGGGUGGGAGACAGAUGCCACUGAGUAUAAUAAUACCACAUCCUAGCUGAAAAAGAGGCAAUUGCUUUCUGAAAUAGUUACUUCUCUAUAAGUGCCCGAGGGAGGUAAAACAAUUGGAUGUCUGAUAGAAGUGGUAACAUGUUUUCUCCAGUCCUGCUUUCUAUACAUCUAUUUCGCUGAGUGCGCCGUUUUUCACAAGAGCGUUUCCUACCUUGGGGUCAUCUUUGUGCUGGAGAUUACAGAAAGCCAGCUCACACCAUAAACUGCUUCGCCACAAAAAGGCCCUUCCAACUUCUCACAUUCUGGGUCAGAAUUUUUUGUGUGUCAGGUUUUUUUUUAACUUUCAGAUGCCUCCCUCCCCAGUUCAUCCCAGAUAACUGUGCAUGAUAAUACUGUGAAUGCCGAGGGUCUCUGUCUAUGCACAAUAGAAUAGGCCUGGUGCUAAAAUACCUUACAUACCUCAUAUUUCAGGAAAUGCACACAAUAUAUACAACUGAUUUACUCUCAAGCUAUAUCUUAGGUUCAAAUCUGUCCACUAAAAACCUUUCUGAUGACAUAUUUGAGAUAAAUAUGGUAAAAAAAAAAAAAAUAGGUUGAGGGUUGGAUCCACAAAUGUAAACCAGUUUGUAUAAACCACUGUUAACGAGCAGUUGUUUGAUUUCAUCUGGGUAAUACUGAAUGCCAGCUUGUGUGUGUAGCCAGACUCUAAACGUGAAUCUUGUGUAUGAAGAGACACUUUUUAAACAAAUUACAUUGACUUUGUAUUGGAGUAUAGUUGAUUUACGGUGUUGUGUUAGUGCCAAGUGCAUAGCACAGUAAUUCAGUUAUACUUACAUCCACUCUUUUCCAGAUUCUUUCCCCAUAUAGGUUAUUACACAAUACUGAGCAGCAUUCCUUGUGCUCCAUGAAGGUCCUGAAAAGACAACAUUUUUGAUGGAAGCUCUGAAGCAGGAUUAUGUGCUACAUUUUUAUAUGAUGUAUCAAAAGUGUUUCAUAUUUUUUCCCUCAAAGAGAGUGUCAGGUUAAAUUCUUCUGCAGCUCCUCCUGUCUGUACCGGAGGUGUCUUCAGUUACUUUGUCUUGAGGCUAAAGGGAUUUAAUGAGAGCUUACUUAAUGGUUGGGCCUGACACUCUUCUGAGGGCUCUGCCUGUGUUGACUCAUCAAUUUCUGGUCCAUCUGGUGAGACGGGGCCUCUUAUUAUCUCCAUCUUACAGCCGAGGAAACUGCAGCUCCAUGAGGCUAAAUGUCUCAUCCACCACUGAGCGGGGAUUCACACCAGACGCCAGACUUCAAGAGCGUGCGUGCUUCUCAGUAUUAAAAGAGGAAUCUGGGGAGUCUUUGUUUUCAAUGGCAGCUUAUUAUGUUACCAAGUCUGUAAUAGUAACUAUGAAUGGCGUAAAUUGGGACACUGGGCAGAUGUCACAAUGGUAAGUGUUCUGAACUUCUGCUUGAAAUACACUUCUGUUGACAGGGAGCCAGCUAUAGCCAUGGAAGUCAGAAACACUCACCCAUGAUGAUCAGAGGAUGUCUUCAGACUGGAUUUGUCCUGUGAACACGUAAAGGAGAACUAAUGUUAUAAAUACAGACCCUACAGACAUAAGAACUGUGAGUUAACACUUGGUAGCGGAGAGUUAAAAAUGCCACUUUAACUAGAAAGCACUCUAAAUUUAUCAUGCUGUCUCACCUGCCAAGUGUUGAGAGAGUCUUUCUCAGGAGCUUGAGAAAACCAAGUCAAGAGAUAAUAAAAACACUUCUGGAUGGACAGGAAGAGACUUAUCAAUGUGCAAGUGUAAUCAAGAGAGAGAGAAAAAGUGAACAUUUGCAAAGAACAAUCCUCCAUUUCUCAAGAAUAGCACUAGUUUCAAAGGGAGCAAGUUAAAGACCAACCUGGGGACUACUAGUAAAGGGCAGGGGCACUUGAAAGUGAAAGCUGCUCAGUGGUGUCUGGCUCUUUUGAGACCCCAUGGACUGUAGCCCACCAGACUCCUCUCUCCCCGGAAUUCUCCAGGCAAGAAUCCUGGAGUGGGUAGCCAUUCCUUUCUGCAGGGGAUCUUCCCGACCCAGGGAUGGAACCCACAUUGCAAGCCGAUUGUUUGUGACACUUAAUGAAAUACUGAUUGCCAGUUGCAUGCUGUUGAGACCAGAAUGGCUCCCUGGGACUUCCUUACACAAUCCCUGGGACAGACCAACAGACUAUUUGCGGGAGUAGCCGGGUACUGCAUUUCUGACAUUUGUGUAUUUCAACACAUUUGAUUUAGUGGUUAAGUGAAGUCAUACAUGCAUCUGUGCUAAGUCUCUUCGGUCGUGUCUGACUCUUGGUGACCUUGUGGACUGUAGCCCUCCAGGCUCCUCUGUCCAUGGGAUUCUCCAGGCAAGAAUACCGGAGUGGGUUGCCCUGCCCUCCUCCAGGGGAUCUUCCCAACCCAGGGAUGAAACCUGGGUCUUUUACCUCUCCUUCAUUGGCAGGCAGGUUCUUUACCACUAGUGCCACCUGGGAAGCUCCUCAGUGAAGUCACUGAUGAUCAAAUAUCCUUAAAGGAACCCCCCUAACAAUCCCUCCACAUUGGAAGGGUCCCAAGAACCUGGGGGUGUGAGGGGUGGGAGGUGAUGCCUCUGUGACUUUUAGGCUCUGGGUUGGUUUCAUUAGGGAAUCAGAUAUGUUUGUGCUUAUUUCGAAGCAGAAGAAAUACACUUUUAGAGGAAGAAGGGAAACUCAGCUCUCAUCCUGCCCACUGGAGUCCAUGGCAUAACUUCCAGAUGGUGAUAUUCAGAUUCUUUUGAUAUUCCUCCAGCUAGGAAUAUGAAAUACAUACGAGAGAAAAAAAAAACUUAAGCCCUGGGGGAAAAAAGAUAAGCGCAUCCUAACGACUAGCAGUCCCUUGUCUGUGUUUAAUGAAGUGUUCACCUUCUGGUGUGAGUGUCUGGAAGUCAGCUAUGGGUGAUACUGCGGUAUGAACUUCACAUGGUCCUUCGGGGUGCCUGACUUCAUCUGCCUGCUCGCUCUGCCGUUCCAGUGCUCAGCACAGGGUGUAGGGUGGUGCAGACGCUGGAACUAUUGAUGGCCAAGGGACCGAGUGAUCGACAGGGAUUGAGUCUGGCACAGGAGGCAUUCGACAGAGAAGUGCCAUUUAGGUACUGAUUAGAGAAUACAUCAGUGGAUCACGGAGACCGUCACAGUGGUACCUGCUAAGGCAACCUUCUUUCACCUUUCCCUAGGUUCUUUAACAGCUGCAGAAAAAUCAAGAAGACCCACAGGCAAAUUUCGAAGAAUGCAUGGCUAAUUUACAAACAAGGGGGAAACAGAACGUUGAGAAACUCAGCGGCUCCAAAGACUGCAGUAGAUGGGAAACAAUUGGGAAAGCGGCCUCCGCGACUUUCAGAGAGCGCGUGCCUCGUUCGGCCUCCUACGCAGAAACCCACAGCAGAAUGUGCGCGGCGAACACGUGGCCGCGCUGCCGUCGCUUCCCCCGAGUCCUUCCGCGCACAGGAGGGUCCUUGACCAAGCACAGGAGGGUCCCAUCGCACACAGGACGGCUCCUCUGCUGGGCUCCUUCGAGAUGCUCAGGGAUCUCAAGACGGAGCAUGUUGGAGAAGCAAGUGGUCAUCACAAGGCCCCUGGGUCCACGGAGGAACCUCUGCAGGAGGCACAUUCUUUACUGCAGAGCCACCGGGAAAGCCCCUUGAAAGCUAACAUCACGUGUUAAACGCCUUUGAUGGAUAGAUGAAGCAUCACUCACUAGCCCCAUUUUGAGGAUCUGCCCUGCCUGACGCCCAGUAUGAGGCCCCGGGGCUUCUGAGGCAAAGUAGCUGGGUUCCUGCCUGCAAGGUGUCGAUGUCACUAGCAGGGCGGUCAGAUGCGGAAACCACCAGGGGCUGGACUAGUACGGGCACGCCUGGUCAGGAGACGGGUGAGCCCUGGGCUGUGGGGUGGGCGUGGGCUGCAAGAGUGGGAAACCAGGAUGGUGUACGGGUGCACCUGGUCAGGAGACGGGUGAGCCCUGGACUGUGCGGUGGGCGUGGGCUGCAAGAGUGGGAAACCAGGAUGGUGUUUGGUGCAGGGGAGGCCUUGGGGCAGGGCUGCAGGUGGGGGGACCUGGUGACUUUGGGGGGUUUUGUGUGCUGCGCUGAGGGGCUAGGUCUGGCCAUGGUAGGAGCUGGGUCUGUGUCUCUCUGUUGGGGGGCCUGGAAACCAGUGCCAAAGGAAUUUACUGGAGACAGAAACUUUACCAUGUUGGGCAAGGGAGUGAGUGGGAUGUGGAGGAAGGUAGAUUUUUAAAUGUGAAUAUCUUAAUUUUAUUUUACAUUGUUUUAAAUAUAACUUUAUAUAUAUAUUUUUCUUUUUCAAGUGGGGUAGAUUUUUUGAGGACGGCAGCUAUGACUUACUCCUCCCUGGGUCCACUGUAGUGCACAAAGGGAGUCCCUAGUUAAUUGGAAAUAGUCUCUGUUUGCAGAGUUUCAGUAGCAGUAUUCUUCCAACUUUAUCUUUCUCAAUUUUAAUGAAAGCCCUUAAUCUUGACUGAGGAUACAGGCUUAUGAACGUGGCCAAAAAGGAGCAAGGGGUGAACCCCACGUCUAUCCAGUCUGCGUUUUCUCCACUUUUCCUUCUGGGUUGGGGGGACUUCAUAGAGUCCCCCCCCCCCCCAUACAGAAAGCAUCUUGUAUUUGAGUUGCACAUUUAGAAUACAAAAUUUGAGAAAUAAUUGCCACCACAUUCUACCAAAUACCUACCGUCUACCAGAAGCGUACAGCACGUGUGGCUGCUGCCCUUUGAGACCUCGUGGUCUAGAUUCUUUGCUUAAUGUGGUGGAAACGGGAGGAGAUUGAAUUCUCUGAAGAAAUGAUACCCAAGAGGAGCAACAGUACCAUCCUGUUUCUGUUUGGAAACCCCUCACGAUUUCAGAGAGCGAAGAGAAACAUGCCACAAUACAGUGAUUUUUUUUUAUAAGCACAAGAGAGCUGCCUUCAGUCAGUCCCACCUGCGGAGAAUUAACUAGCCUGCCAGCAACGCUGACGGUGAAGGGGUUAAAAUAACAAAUAAAUGACUUUAUUUAGACUUGAGCAUUUCUGGCAUUUUUUUCUAGAUUUUUUCCCCCCACAGUAUUUGAUGUGACAGCUUUUGUUUGCUCACACUUGUCUCUCUCUUAAAUUUCUCAUAUCAGCGGUAAAAGCUAUUUCUUUUUGCUGUACCAUCUUGAGCUUGAUAUCCAAUGAAGGGAGAAAUUGCUCUUGCAUUGCUUGAAAUUAUAUUAUACCUAAUUUUGGGGGGAGAAAGAUGAGAGUAAUUUAGAUCUCCAGGCACUGAAGAUUUUGCAGACAGGUCAUCUGCAGCUUUAUUGCUGAUUAGUCAUCCAUAAAAGUGUUUUUACUGCGGGGGUGGUGUUGCCAUUUCUAGUAUUUUUUAGAGACGCUGGUUUUGAGGCCCAUCCAGGGAAGGGAAAGACCGUUGUCCACACUGAGGGCACAGUCUGGCCUUGAUGGGGCUCUGGUUGGGAGUGGAGAGCCUCUUUGCCCGGAGGGACGGAGCAAGGGAGAGGGCACUGGAUCUCAUCUUACCUAAGCCCAUCAGAAGCAUCACUCUCGGCGCCACUGGCGUUUAGACCGCGCAUGCGCGGUUGCAGAGCCAGCCUCUCAAGUGGGCGGCGGGCUUCAGGUACCAAUUAUUUGUGCGUGGGGAAAGGUUCCCUGGAGAAGCAUGUCAUUUCUGGACUUGGCGGGCUCACUUAUAAACCAUGAACAAGCCGGAAUUUGUUGGCUAACCCUUUAUAAGCAAUUUUGGAAAGAAAUGUGCUUCUUUCCUGACGUUUUCCUUAUGGGAGUGAGGAUCAGCCUGGUCUUUUGCAGUUUCUUUCACACCCCGGGGCCCCUUCCAGAGGCCCCCAUUUUCCAGAGAAAUUCACUUACAAGCGCUGACCUUUUGGGCACUAAUAUCCGAGAGGGGAUGCACACAACUGGUUUGAGUGCCAGGAAAUCUCCCCUCCUGCCACCCUUCCCGGGUGGGCAGGGGGUAAAAGGCUUUGUGUAAAUUUCAGGGAAGAGGGGCUCAUUCUCUGAUCCAUGCUGUCUGGAGCAGCUGGUAUUUCCUAAACUUUUCUGUGUAUAUCGUUGGAAGCACAGCAUUACCACUCUAAAGAGGGACACCGAGGAGCCAAAUGCCAGUGGAGUUCUGUAAUGUGGGCUGCAGUGUAAACUGUGGUAGGGUUGAACUGAGGACUCUUCUAGAAAAACCUGUAAGUAAUUAAGUUCUCCCUCCAGCAAGGUAAAAGCUGAGUCUAAAGUCUGUUAACACAAAGGAGAGUGAAACCUUUGUUGAUGGUUUUAUAUAUAUAUAUAUAUAUUUUCUUUUUCUUUUUUAAUGUAAAUAAAUAAAGAAUUCUGGCAAAACAAACAAAAAAAAACCACCCCCAAAACCCUCAUAUCUUGUUACUGACUUAAGGAGAAAAGGAAAGAUGCUGCCUUUGUUGGUUGCAUGCUUCACAUUGCUGAGGUCAGAACAAAACUUAGAUUACCCUGUUUCAGCAACUCCCAAACCAUGUUCCGGGGAAUAUAAGAUAUUUCCUGGGGAGGAGGGAGGAAAGAUUUCAUGGCCAGCUCCGUUUCAGAAACCUUCCAUAUAACUUCCCCUUCUCUGGAGAUUCACGACGCCCUGUAGCUUGUUAAGAGAAUGCUGUUUGCCCUGGCUUAACCCAGCACUUCAGUCUGGUGUGAUCAGAGUCCUUUUUCACAGGGCACCUGCUCCCAUCCAAGGGGAAGCACCUCUUACUUCACCUCCAGCAGAAACACUGCCCACUAGCAACUGAUCUUGCCUGCCUGUCCUCACCCACGCUUGCUCUGUGGUUCUUUAUUGACAUCGAUGGUGUUGUACAGUCUCUUGUGAUGCGUGCAUCUGGCUUUCAGGAAAGACUGCAUGCUCCUUGAGGACAAACACUUUUCCUGUAUCAUCUUUGUAUCCCCAGCGUGCCUGCUGCAAGUCUGGGAGUAUUCGAUUACUAUACAGUAAGUCCCCUACUUAGCAACCUUCAAGUUGCGAACUUUCAAAGAUGCGUACGUGCAUUCGCACGUCCAGUCACAUGAGUUAGUUCACGUGUCUGGUGUACAUUGUCACUUGAGUGCAUCCCCUGCGAGUGGCUGUGCUUUUGUGUACGUUACUGGACAGUACUGUAUAGACUACCAUAGUGCAAUAUCUUUAUUUCAAACCCAGACUGUCUGGAAGCAAGCGUAAAAGCUGCGGUGAUGUAGCUGCUCAGAUCAGAUCAGAUCAGAUCAGUUGCUCAGUCGUGUCCAACUCUUUGCAACCCCAUGAAUCGCAGCACACCAGGCCUCCCUGUCCAUCACCAACUACCGGAGUUCACUCAGACUCACGUCCAUCGAGUCAGUGAUGCCAUCCAGCCAUCUCAUCCUCUGUCGUCCCCUUCUCCUCUUGCCCCCAAUCCCUCCCAGCAUCACAGUCUUUUCCAAUGAGUCAACUCUUCGCAUGAGGUGGCCAAAGUACUGGAGUUUCAGCUUUAGCAUCAUUCCUUCCAAAGAAAUCCCAGGGCUGGUCUCCUUCAGAAUGGACUGGUUGGAUCUCCUUGCAGUCCAAGAGACUCUCAAGAGUCUUCUCCAACACCACAGUUCAAAAGCAUCAAUUCUUAGGCACUCAGCCUUCUUCACAGUCCAACUCUCAUAUCCCAUACAUGACCACAGGAAAAACCAUAGCCUUGACUAGACGGACCUUUGUUGGCAAAGUAAUGUCUCUGCUUUUCGAUAGGCUAUCUAGGUUGGUCAUAACUUUCCUUCCAAGGAGUAAGCGUCUUUUAAUUUCAUGGCUGCAGUCACCAUCUGCAGUGAUUUUGGAGCCCCCAAAAAUGAAGUCUGACAGUUUCCACUGUUUCCCCAUCUAUUUGCCAUGAAGUGAUGGGACCAGAUGCCAUGAUCUUUGUUUUCUGAAUGUUGAGCUUUAAGCCAACUUUUCACUCUCCACUUUCACUUUCAUCAAGAGGCUUUUGAGUUCCUCUUCCCUUUCUGCCAUAAGGGUGGUGUCAUCUGCAUAUCUGAGGUUAUUGAUAUUUCUCCCGGCAAUCUUGAUUCCAGCUUGUGUUUCUUCCAGUCCAGCAUUUCUCAUGAUGUACUCUGCAUAUAAGUUAAAUAAACAGGGUGACAGUAUACAGCCUUGACGUUCUCCUUUUCCUAUUUGGAACCAGUCUGUUGCUACUAGUGUACUUUUCAAGGUACUGUGUUACAAGAUUAAAAAUGCUUAAUUUUUGUGCUUUCUUGUUUUUUGUGUCUUACUUGUGUGUUAAGCAGCUUGAUUCAUGAGAAGUGAAGCUGCUCAGCUGUGGGCAACUCUUUGCCAUCCCAUGGACUGUAGCUUACUCUUCCGUCCAUGGAAUUUUCCAGCCAAGAGUGCUGGAGUGGGUUGCCAUGGAGAGUAUUAUAAACCUAUUACAGUAUAGUACUAUAUAGCCCAUUCUGUUAGUUGGGUACCUAGGCUAACUUUGUUGGACUUAGGAACAAACUGGACUUACGAACGUGCUCUUGGAACAGAACUCUUUCACCUGUAGAGGAUUUGCUGUGUGUUGAAAGCUAGUCCCGGGGUGGCUCCUGGAAGGAGUCAGGCACACUUUGGACCUGCUAACAGAGCGGAGGGUUAGAAGCAGGGUAGAUAAUGGAAGGCUCUGCAGAGCUAGUCCUGUUCCAUUGCUUUCUCUUCCUGCAUUUCAUUUUCUCAGUGGAAAACACUUACCUUUAGAGGGUUUCAUCUCUCUCUGCAUUUGUAAGAAUAAAACCAUAAAUUUUUUUAAUUGUAAAAUUAGAAAAAGAAUUAUUAGGAAUGGAUUGAGGUUCAACACAGAUAGAGAUUCAGUUAACCUGGCAAGCCUGAGUCGGGAGCAUCCCGUGUUUGGGGCUUUGAGCAGAGAGCACAGGGCUUGGAAGAAAAGGCUUGAAUUUUCACUGCCACAAGAAAUAGGAGAGUGACCAUCCUCUCUGAGGAGACUGAGGGCUGUCACCAAGAGGAGGCUGGCGAGACGGUGUGAUGUCCGUUGCUUAGCAUCGUGGGAAGAGCGUGGGCUUUGGAGUCUGGUGGUCUUGGCUCUGAAUUCCAGCAGCUCUGCCUUUUUUUUUUUUUUAAAUUGAAGUAUAGUUGCUUUACAAUGUUGUGUUAAUUUCUGCUGUACAGCAAAGUGACUCAGGUAUCCACAUAUAUGCAUUCUUUUUUAUGUGUUUUUCCAUUAUGGUUUAUCUCAGGAGAUUGGGUAGUUCCCUGUGCUGUGCAGCAGGACCUCCGUUCUGCAUCUGCAGCUACUGACACCAGACUCCCGGCCCAUCCCUGCCUCCUGCCCCCCCCACCCCGGC